rnacentral:rRNA from 1 species
GACGAACGCUGGCGGCGUGCUUAACACAUGCAAGUCGAGCGGUAAGGCCCUUUCGGGGUACGACGAGCGGCGAACGGGUGAGUAACACGUGGGUGACCUGCCCUCCAGCUCUGGGAGUAAGCCUCGGGAAACCGGGUACUAAUACCGGAUAUGACUCCAUGACGCAUGUUGUGGGGUGGAAAGCCUUGUGCGGCUGAGGAUGGGCCCGGCCGGCCUAUCAGCUUGUUGGUGGGGUGAUGGCCUACCAAGGCGACGACGGGUAGCCGGCCUGAGAGGGCGACCGGCCACACUGGGACUGAGACACGGCCCAGACUCCUACGGGAGGCAGCAGUGGGGAAUCUUGCGCAAUGGGCGAAAGCCUGACGCAGCGACGCCGCGUGAGGGAUGACGGCCU